GGGACCGAAAGAGGGGGUGCUGGACCCUGCUGGCCACUAUGUGCCUUACAUGGGCACUGAGCAACUUCCUCAGGUCUCCAAGUGUCUGUUUGUUUACAUGCCUCCAAAGUGGCUGUGAACGUUUGGGGCUGGGAGAUCUUAUUUGCCUAACUGAAUCACAACUUCUGGAGCUUCAUCUACAACAGGCAGGGCAGUGCAGUUGCAGCAAGCGACACCAGAGCUUGGAGAGAUCCGCACCACGUGACAACCACCAAGGACAGCACCAGCAGUGGAUUGGACCCAGCUGGAGCCUAGACACCAAGCUGUGUGUGUGCUUCAGAGGGCAGAGCUGGAGAAGUGACCCAAGCCCCCUUGAGAAGCCAGAGAUGGAGAUGGCCAGUCACCAUGCUGAAGAUGGCCAGUGGAGGAACAGAUGUUGUACUGAAAACUGUGUCAACAACGUAUGUGUGCCAAGCCAAGACCAGUGAACUGCUGUCAUGGCUCAUUUGCCAAAAUUCUAGGAUGAGAGUUGUUAUGCCAUAGAGAGGAGGGCAUUUUCUUACCAAACUAUAAGGUUUCAGAAAUGACCUGCCCUGGCCUGGGGUGGGGGCGUUGCUUUGUCUUAGGAGCUGUUGACCACAGGGGCCUUAAUGAGCAGCUCCUGCAUGUGAGUUAGCACUAACCCCUGUAAGUCCAGAGCCUGCCCCCUCUGUCCCUGCCGCCUGCCCAGGAGGCCAAUCCAGUGCUGUGGCUGGGAAGUGGUGCAGAAGACAGGUCUCCUGGGCUCUUUAGGACCUGAGAAGGGAGGGAGGAGCUAAGGGAGACCCAAGGCUACAGGGCACGGCCUAAAGACUCCUUAAAGCAGUGGUUCCCAACCCUCCCAGCACUGCAACCCUUAACACAGCCCCCCAAGUUGUGGUGGCUCCAACCAUACAAUUAUUUUUGUUGCUACCUCUUCAUACCUGUGAUUUUGCUACUGUUAUAAAUUACAAUGUAAA